rnacentral:tRNA from 2 species
GCCGGAGUGGUGAAAUGGCAGACACGGGGGACUUAAAAUCCCCUCCUCGCAAGGGGGUGCGGGUUCGAGUCCCGCCUCCGGCACCA